GAUGAACGCUGGCGGCGUGCCUAAUACAUGCAAGUCGAGCGAACAGAUGAGGAGCUUGCUCCUCUGACGUUAGCGGCGGACGGGUGAGUAACACGUGGAUAACCUACCUAUAAGACUGGGAUAACUUCGGGAAACCGGAGCUAAUACCGGAUAAUAUAUUGAACCGCAUGGUUCAAUAGUGAAAGACGGUUUUGCUGUCACUUAUAGAUGGAUCCGCGCCGCAUUAGCUAGUUGGUAAGGUAACGGCUUACCAAGGCAACGAUGCGUAGCCGACCUGAGAGGGUGAUCGGCCACCCUGGAACUGAGACACGGUCCAGACUCCUACGGGAGGCAGCAGUAGGGAAUCUUCCGCCAUGGGCGAAAGCCUGACGGAGCAACGCCGCGUGAGUGAUGAAGGUCUUCGGAUCGUAAAACUCUGUUAUUAGGGAAGAACAAAUGUGUAAGUAACUAUGCACGUCUUGACGGUACCUAAUCAGAAAGCCACGGCUAACUACGUG
rnacentral:rRNA from 1 species